rnacentral:rRNA from 1 species
AUGAUUAUUGGAGGUAGAGCACUGUUUGGACGAGGGGCCCCUCUCGGGUUACCGAAUUCAGACAAACUCCGAAUGCCAAUUAAUUUAACUUGGGAGUCAGAACAUGGGUGAUAAGGUCCGUGUUCGAAAGGGAAACAGCCCAGACCACCAGCUAAGGUCCCAAAAUAUAUGUUAAGUGGAAAAGGAUGUGGCGUUGCCCAGACAACUAGGAUGUUGGCUUAGAAGCAGCCAUCAUUUAAAGAGUGCGUAAUAGCUCACUAGUCGAGUGACACUGCGCCGAAAAUGUACCGGGGCUAAACAUAUUACCGAAGCUGUGGAUUGUCCUUUGGACAAUGGUAGGAGAGCGUUCUAAGGGCGUUGAAGCAUGAUCGUAAGGACAUGUGGAGCGCUUAGAAGUGAGAAUGCCGGUGUGAGUAGCGAAAGACGGGUGAGAAUCCCGUCCACCGAUUGACUAAGGUUUCCAGAGGAAGGCUCGUCCGCUCUGGGUUAGUCGGGUCCUAAGCUGAGGCCGACAGGCGUAGGCGAUGGAUAACAGGUUGAUAUUCCUGUACCACCUAUAAUCGUUUUAAUCGAUGGGGGGACGCAGUAGGAUAGGCGAAGCGUGCGAUUGGAUUGCACGUCUAAGCAGUAAGGCUGAGUAUUAGGCAAAUCCGGUACUCGUUAAGGCUGAGCUGUGAUGGGGAGAAGACAUUGUGUCUUCGAGUCGUUGAUUUCACACUGCCGAGAAAAGCCUCUAGAUAGAAAAUAGGUGCCCGUACCGCAAACCGACACAGGUAGUCAAGAUGAGAAUUCUAAGGUGAGCGAGCGAACUCUCGUUAAGGAACUCGGCAAAAUGACCCCGUAACUUCGGGAGAAGGGGUGCUCUUUAGGGUUAACGCCCAGAAGAGCCGCAGUGAAUAGGCCCAAGCGACUGUUUAUCAAAAACACAGGUCUCUGCUAAACCGUAAGGUGAUGUAUAGGGGCUGACGCCUGCCCGGUGCUGGAAGGUUAAGAGGAGUGGUUAGCUUCUGCGAAGCUACGAAUCGAAGCCCCAGUAAACGGCGGCCGUAACUAUAACGGGCCUAAGGUAGCGAAAUUCCUUGUCGGGUAAGUUCCGACCCGCACGAAAGGCGUAACGAUUUGGGCACUGUCUCAACGAGAGACUCGGUGAAAUCAUAGUACCUGUGAAGAUGCAGGUUACCCGCGACAGGACGGAAAGACCCCGUGGAGCUUUACUGUAGCCUGAUAUUGAAAUUCGGCACAGCUUGUACAGGAUAGGUAGGAGCCUUUGAAACGUGAGCGCUAGCUUACGUGGAGGCGCUGGGGGGAUACUACCCUAGCUGUGUUGGCUUUCUAACCCGCACCACUUAUCGUGGUGGGAGACAGUGUCAGGCGGGCAGUUUGACUGGGGCGGUCGCCUCCUAAAAGGUAACGGAGGCGCUCAAAGGUUCCCUCAGAAUGGUUGGAAAUCAUUCAUAGAGUGUAAAGGCAUAAGGGAGCUUGACUGCGAGACCUACAAGUCGAGCAGGGUCGAAAGACGGACUUAGUGAUCCGGUGGUUCCGCAUGGAAGGGCCAUCGCUCAACGGAUAAAAGCUACCCCGGGGAUAACAGGCUUAUCUCCCCCAAGAGUUCACAUCGACGGGGAGGUUUGGCACCUCGAUGUCGGCUCAUCGCAUCCUGGGGCUGUAGUCGGUCCCAAGGGUUGGGCUGUUCGCCCAUUAAAGCGGUACGCGAGCUGGGUUCAGAACGUCGUGAGACAGUUCGGUCCCUAUCCGUCGUGGGCGUAGGAAAUUUGAGAGGAGCUGUCCUUAGUACGAGAGGACCGGGAUGGACAUACCUCUGGUGUACCAGUUGUCGUGCCAACGGCAUAGCUGGGUAGCUAUGUGUGGACGGGAUAAGUGCUGAAAGCAUCUAAGCAUGAAGCCCCCCUCAAGAUGAGAUUUCCCAACUUCGGUUAUAAGAUCCCUCAAAGAUGAUGAGGUUAAUAGGUUCGAGGUGGAAGCAUGGUGACAUGUGGAGCUGACGAAUACUAAUCGAUCGAAGACUUAAUCAA